rnacentral:rRNA from 1 species
AGUGAACGCUGGCGGCAGGCCUAACACAUGCAAGUCGAACGGCAGCACAGUAUGAGUUUGCUCUUACGGGUGGCGAGUGGCGGACGGGUGGGGAAUACAUCGGAACCUACAUUUUCGUGGGGGAUAACGUAGGGAAACUUACGCAAAUACCGCAUACGACUUACGGGUGCAAGCAGGGGAUCUUCGGACCUUGCGCGAUUGUAUGAGCCGAUGUCGGAUUAGCUAGUUGGCGGGGUAAAGGCCCACCAAGGCGACGAUCCGUAGCUGGUCGGAGAGGAUGAUCAGCCACACUGGAACUGAGACACGGUCCAGACUCCUACGGGAGGCAUCAGUGGGGAAUAUUGGACAAUGGGCGCAAGCCUGAUCCAGCCAUACCGCGUGGGUGAAGAAGGCCUUCGGGUUGUAAAGCCCUUUUGUUGGGAAAGAAAAGCAGCGGGUUAAUACCCCGCUAUUCUGACGGUACCCAAAGAAUAAGCACCGGCUAACUUCGUG